GUGUAAUGGCCAUAAAUUACAGUCACAAGUAACUCCAGUAGUGACUAGCUAUCAGCCUCACCUUAUGCUGUAAGCUUUCUAAGCCGAGACCUGGACAGAAGGGUUCUGUCAGAAAUAACAUUGAAAGCUUUGCUGAAAUUCAAAAAGAUUCCAUCAACUGGCUCCCUUUGGUCAGGUGUUUCUCAGUAACUCCCAGAAUCAUCUUCUCCAUCAUUUUUCAAAGCACUGAAGUAAGACUGACAGGGAGAGUACAAAGAAGUUUUUAGGAUAUGCAGAGAGAAGAUUAGAAAGACAGAAGCCCAACUUGCUACAAGACUAAAAGAGAACACAAACCUUUU